UGCCAAUCUUGCAUAAGGUGACGCGAUGGCUGCGCGCCAAAAGCAAGGUUUUUCGAGUGGAGAGAGUUCCUUCCUUAUUCAAUGAUCAGGCUUCGUAGGUUCUUUAUUUUCUGAUAAGGGUAUAAUAAGGUGCAACAUGGAUGGAGAACCACAACUGCAGCACCGCAGCACUGCUUUGUUUUGAUCACAAGCUCAUUGAUGGAUGCACUGAAGAAGGGGUUGCAAGGAAAGCUAGACUGGGAGGAUGUCAAGGAAAACACAUUUCACUGAGAGGAAGAAUAGAAGUUCCGUCAUUUGGACCUGCUUGCCAGACAGCAGGAGCAACCAGCUUGAUGAAGCAAGCAAUGGGCAUUCGCUCACCUUCACAAUUUCAAGGAACACCCAACAAGGACAAGUCAGCGCUGUGCAACUGUCGGUGACUUCCUGCUGAAAACUACACGGCCCCCAGAAACCAAGCCAGUAGAUUGUGCCAACAAGAUUGGGUGAAAACGGGUCAACAAGCAGGCGGCUGCCGCUGCCAGUGCGGGACACCAAAACAAAAAUGGCAGCCGGCGAAGCAAGCCGAAUGCGUCGAACGUGAUUAUUUUUCUUCUCCCCGAAAAUUCCACACUGUUCCUGGAGAUGUCAAAUCAGAGAGUCGUUGUGAAGCACCUUCUAAUUGAAAGCCUGCCAGACUUCGAAGAACUACAUUCAUGUGAAAAUGGCCAUGAACCUGACCUUGUGGUUGGUAUGUUAGCAAGAUGGGACACAAACAUAAUCCUCAACAAUUAUUGCAAGAGCAGAAGUAACACGGCUGCUGGUGCUGCAAAAGCUGAUGCAAAUGCACGUAAAUUAAAGACGGUUGCGAAGAAGGGAAAAUGAGAAACGGUUGUUCUUGGCUGUUGUUUCUUGUGCUUUGAUCAUGAUUGUAGAAAAUAAAAUUGUGUCCCGUUUUGUGAAUCUUCUCAGCAUAUUGCAUUUGUACACAUUAGCUCCUCUGUGUACUGUUAGGGUUAGCGUCUGGCACCACGUGUUGGAAGGAAUUUCAACCGACCAUCUCUCACCCUGCAUCGUCGAAAUGAGGCGUGACUUCGCCUGCUAUUGUUGGCGUCCCGCACCUCGUGCACAAAGAACUUUCUCUCA